rnacentral:rRNA from 1 species
GACGAACGCUGGCGGCGUGCUUAACACAUGCAAGUCGAGCGGUAAGGCCCUUUCGGGGGUACACGAGCGGCGAACGGGUGAGUAACACGUGGGUGACCUGCCCUCAGCUCUGGGAUAAGCCCGGGAAACUGGGUCUAAUACCGGAUACGACCUUCUGUUGCAUGACAGUUGGUGGAAAGUUUUUCGGCUGGGGGAUGGGCCCGCGGCCUAUCAGCUUGUUGGUGGGGGUGAUGGCCUACCAAGGCGACGACGGGUAGCCGGCCUGAGAGGGCGACCGGCCACACUGGGACUGAGACACGGCCCAGACUCCUACGGGAGGCAGCAGUGGGGAAUAUUGCGCAAUGGGCGGAAGCCUGACGCAGCGACGCCGCGUGGGGGAUGACGGCCU